GAAAUGCGAUAAGUAAUGUGAAUUGCAGAAUUCCGUGAAUCAUCGAAUCUUUGAACGCACAUUGCGCCCUCUGGUAUUCCGGGGGGCAUGCCUGUUCGAGCGUCAUUGCAACCCCUCAAGCACGGCUUGUGUGAUGGGCCAACGUCCCCCGUGGACGGGCCUGAAAUGCAGUGGCAGCACCGAGUCCUGGUGUCUGAGUGUAUGGGAAUCUCUAUCGCUCAAAGACCCAAUCGGCGCUGAUGUCAGAUUUUUAUCCAGUUUGACCUCGGAUCAGGUAGGAGUACCCGCUGAACUUAA
rnacentral:misc_RNA from 1 species